UACGUAGGGACCAAGCGUUGUUCGGAUUUACUGGGCGUAAAGGGCGCGUAGGCGGCGUGACAAGUCACUUGUGAAAUCUCUGGGCUUAACCCAGAACGGCCAAGUGAAACUGUUGUGCUAGAGUGCAGAAGGGGCAAUCGGAAUUCUCGGUGUAGCGGUGAAAUGCGUAGAUAUCGAGAGGAACACCAGAGGUGAAGACGGGUUGCUGGGCUGACACUGACGCUGAGGCGCGACAGCGUGGGGAGCAAACAGG
rnacentral:rRNA from 1 species